GCCAAGAGGAAGAAGGUGCUAGACAAGUACGGAGACAUGAGAGUGAUGAUGACCUACGAGCUGUUCAGCAUGUGGCAGAACCUUGGAGAGAAUAAGAUCCACUUCAUCCCCGGGAUGAUCGGGCCGUUCCUGGGAGUGACCUUGGUUCCUCAGCUGGAGGUCAGGAACAUCAUGAUCCCAAUCUUCCACGACAUGAUGGACUGGGAGCAGCGCAAGAACGGGAACUUCAAGCAGGU